CCUACGGGAGGCAGCAGUGGGGGAUAUUGCACAAUGGGGGAAACCCUGAUGCAGCGACGCCGCGUGUAGGAAGACGGUCCUCUGGAUUGUAAACUACUGUCCCCAGGGACGAAGAUGACGGUACCUGGGGAGGAAGCUCCGGCUAACUACGUGCCAGCAGCUGCGGUAAUACGUAGGGAGCGAGCGUUAUACGGACUUACUGGGUGUAAAGGGCGCGUAGACGGGGAGGUAAGACUGAAGUGGAAGGCCGGGGCCCAACCGCGGAACUGCUUUGGGGACUGGUUUGAUAGAGUAUGGGAGGGGUAAGCGGAAUGCCUGGUGUAGCGGUGAAAUGCGUAGAUAUCGGGAGGAACACCGGUGGCGAAGGCGGAUUACUGGACCAUAACUGACGUUGAGGCUCGAAAGCGUGGGGAGCGAACAGGAUUAGAUACCCGAGUAGUC
rnacentral:rRNA from 1 species